rnacentral:rRNA from 1 species
UACAGAGGGUGCAAGCGUUAAUCGGAAUUACUGGGCGUAAAGCGUGCGUAGACGGUUAUGUAAGUCAGAUGUGAAAGCCCUGGGCUCAACCCAGGAACUGCAUUUGAAACUCCCUUUCUUGAGUGUCGGAGAGGAAAGCGGAAUUCCUGGUGUAGAGGUGAAAUUCGUAGAUAUCAGGAGGAACACCGGUGGCGAAGGCGGCUUUCUGGACGACAACUGACGCUGAGACGCGAAAGCGUGGGGAGCAAACAGG